GAUGAACGCUGGCGGCGUGCCUAAUACAUGCAAGUCGAGCGAACAGAUGAGGAGCUUGCUCCUCUGACGUUAGCGGCGGACGGGUGAGUAACACGUGGAUAACCUACCUAUAAGACUGGGAUAACUUCGGGAAACCGGAGCUAAUACCGGAUAAUAUAUUGAACCGCAUGGUUCAAUAGUGAAAGACGGUUUUGCUGUCCCUUAUAGAUGGAUCCGCGCCGCAUUAGCUAGUUGGUAAGGUAACGGCUUACCAAGGCGACGAUGCGUAGCCGACCUGAGAGGGUGAUCGGCCACACUGGAACUGAGACACGGUCCAGACUCCUACGGGAGGCAGCAGUAGGGAAUCUUCCGCGAUGGGCGAAAGCCUGACGGAGCAACGCCGCGUGAGUGAUGAAGGUCUUCGGAUCGUAAAACUCUGUUAUUAGGGAAGAACAAAUGUGUAAGUAACUAUGCACGUCUUGACGGUACCUAAUCAGAAAGCCACGGCUAACUACGUG
rnacentral:rRNA from 1 species